GCCUCCUCAAGCACCGUCGGCCCCCAGCAGCCCCUGCGCCAACCUUCCCCUUUGCACCUUCCCUUCCCCAACCGUACUCACCCAGUCCUGAGCACCCCAUCGCGCCGGACCGUGCUAGCCCGCGGUUGCCAACAGGCCACCUGACCAAGGCCACGCCUCUCCUUCACGCUGCCACCGCACCUCCUUGCGCACCGGCCAACGGUUGUCGCCACCGCGCUGGCCCGCAGCAGAGCCGCGCCGACCCACGGUUGCCGCCGCGCCUCCUGCGUGCUGGCCAACGGUCGCCGCCGUCGUGCUGGCCCGCUGUUGAGCCGCGUCGACCCGCAGUCGUCGCCGCCGCCGCCGCGCCCACCCUGCUGGCUGCCUGGUCUUGCUGCUGCUGUUGCACCGCUGCCGCCACUCGCUAGGCCGUACUGGAGAUGGGGAAUACACGGAGAGCGCUACGGCUCGGACAUCCGGCAUCACACCAAAAAUCGGAUGUCUAAACAAGCGCAUGUGAGAAUGAACCCUGUCCUAUAACGUAUGUGCCUAGCUGUUUCUUUUCAUUCUUUUCUCCUCUCUUUAAAUAUUUUUUCUCCUAAAUUACUUAUCCGAUCUACGAUCCGAUCACAUCGUUAUAUUCGUUGCAAUUAAAUCUUUACAAUAAAAUAUCACAUGAUUAUAUUAUGUCAAAAGAAAAACAUGUGUUUCAAACCGUUAGAAUAACAUGUUUCAUACGUGAUAGAGAUAGGUUUCAAUAUGUGUCUUCGGUGUGUUUCACAAAAUUCCUGAAAUUAACUGCUACUACUCUCUCUCCACCUCAUGCAUGCAUACAUGCAUGUAUUUUAGCAAGCUUCAAAAUGAUUUUUCUUUUAAAUUACUUAUUCAAUCUAUGAUCCGAUCACGCCGUUGUAUUCGUUGUAAUUAACUCUUUACAACAAGAUAUCGCAUGAUUAUAUUUUGAUAAAAGAAAAACAUAUGUUUCAAUCCGUCAAUACUUGUUAUUUCAUAUGUGACAACAACAUGUUUCAACGUGUAUAUUCACCAUGUUUCAUAAACAUAUUUAAAUGUUUCGGUUGUUGUUUUCUUUGUUUCACCAUAUAUAACUUAAUGUUUUACUUGUUGGUCAACGCUCGCCCCCACACUGCCGCAUGCCCGCGUUGCUUCCGUGCUGCGUUGCUUGCCUGCCCUACAUGCGUUGCUUGCGCUGCUGCUUGCAUACUCUCUCUCCCUCUCCCUCUCCCUCCCAUUACACGUGCCUAAUUUUUUCCUCAAAUUGUAAAUAUUUUUCUCCAAAAUUAUAUAUCUGAUCUAAAUUUCAAUUAUACCAUUAGAUUUUUGCACAAAUACUUAAUUAUGUUGAAAUAUUUUUAAAUAGGACGCUACAAAUCGAACAUUCAAUAUUUUUUUUUUUCAAAUAUCGAAUGCUGCUCCUCGUCUGUAUGUAUGCAGGGACGCGUUGGAGGAGCGAGGUUGUCGCAUGCAUGCAUGCAAGAGUAGAGCUGGUUGCCAAGAGUUCGGUUGGCUGAUUGAGAUCGAUGAAAAAAGGCAGUUUAGUUCUGCAUCAAGCAGGCAAAAAGGCCAGCCGGUUGUAGUGGUGGUUGGUGAUUCAGGACGCAGAUCGGAGCAUGUGAUGUGCAGUACUGCAAAAUGGUACUGCUUGGUUUUUGGACGUUUGGCUGGUGGAUUUCAUCGUUUUUGGUAGAGUUGGUGAUAUUUCGCUCGAAAACGGAGCAUAUGCAUGGGACAAGGGUUGACCAAAGGCAUGGAGCAGCUGAUCGAGCUCCACUUCGAACCUUUUUCUUCUUCUUCUUCUUUUGUGAUUAUGAGGAUAAUGCCACCACUUCGCGCGUACUUCUUAUAUAGGCACACACCAACGAGUGCAUCCUGUUUACCACCCAUUUCGGUUAAGUUCUACUCCCUUCGUCUAAAAAAACCAAUCUAGUAUUGACAAGAUUCGUUAUACUGGAAACAUCCCAUUCAAUAGUAGGUUGGUUUUUUUUUGGGCGGAGGGAAUAGUCGGUAAUUCGGCGACUACUUACUCAUUCUCCUUGGGCACGUUUCUGAGCUGAAAAAUGGGAUGUUUAGCACAAAAAAAUUAUAUAUAAAAGUUUCCUAGAAAUCAAAUAAAUCUAAUUUUAAUACUUGAUUGAAUAUACGCUAAUAACUUAUCUCGUUUUAAGUACCACCUAAAGUUUCUGUCCAACGUACAGCUGAUCUAAACUCAGACUCUAAAUAAUCGUAAAUCAUGUACUCCCUUCGUUCCACAAUGUAAGUUAUUCUAGCAUUUUCCACAUUCAUAUUGAUGUUAAUGAAUCUAUGAAUAUGAAAAAUGCUAGAAUAAUUUACAUUGUGAAACGGAGGAAGUAACUGUAACUUUACCACCACAUCGUUUAAGCCUUUAAGGUGGCUUCUCGAAAAUCGAUUUUAUUCUUCCCAUUUUUAGUUCGAGCUAGUAUAAAGCAUAUGAUAUGCUCUAGAACAUGCAGCGCUAACUUGCCCGUUGAAUUGGAGAGUGUUGUUUGUCGCAUUGGAUGCUACAUAUGCUACUUCGGGAAGUAAAGAAAUGGAGGACAUGAGAGCUGCUACGUACCUAGUAGGUGGAUAUGCAUGUAGGCAAUGCUUGUUGGAAAAGCAUUAGCAGAAAUGGGUUUGUUUGGAAGCACGUUCUGUAGCAGUGCUGUAACUGUACUGUACUCUGAAGCGUCAACUGAGGCUGCAGGUAGCCAGAAAAUCAGAAACACUUGCCUUCUACAGCAGCAUUUUUUUUACAAGCAAACAUUGUUCAAAACAAUUGCAACCGAACAGCGGUGCUAUGCAGCUGCAAGCCUGCAACCCAAGAGGGGUUGAAACUCUAUAUUGGAGUAACAUAUAGCAGUACGUUUAGUUUAUUCUAUUACAAAACUAGAAAAUAGAUUUAUUACAAAAUGUACUGCUUAAUAGUUUAGGAAACGUGUUAACGAAAAACGAGAAAAAGUUGUAGUUUGGAUUGAUGUUAUCUUCCUUGCCACUUGUUCCAUCACGUGAGGGGUAUAUACAUUAGUGAAAAGUCGAGAAUAAGGGCCUGGUUCAAAACCCUAUUUUUUUUCUUAGAACAAAUUACAUGAAUGUAAUAUUACUUUGGAAUAAGUCCACUUUGACUCCAUUAAAAGUAACUCGAAUCUAAUAUGUGAUCCUCAACCGUAAAACCGGAUAGAACGACUCCCUAAACUAUUGAAACCAGUGCAAUUUGACUCCCUUGGUGGUUUCGAUGGGUGGUUUUGCUGAUGUUGCGCUGACGUGGCAAUGUUGACCUAGUUUUCGUCCCACGUGGCGCUUACGUGGCAUUAGAAUUAAAAAAAAAAUCUAUGGACCCACAUGUGAUUCACACAUAAAAAAUAUUGUGGGCCCCACUGACAUGUGGGCCUACAUGUCAUUCACUCUCUCCUUCCCCUUCCCUCUCUCCCCGUUCUCUCCCCCCUUUCUCUUCACCUUCUCUCUCGUAGUGUAAUUUGCAGGCAAGGGCGGCGACGGCAAGCGGGAGCCGGAGUGGUGGCGGCGGCGAUGGCUGACGCGGCAGCAGCGGGCGGGCGCCAGCUUCCCCAUCGCCAUCGACCUCGACCUCGGCGUAUCCGCAUGCGUGAUGGCGGCGGUCUUCGAGGAUGCAGUCCACGAACCCAGCCCGGCAAUCCGGCCAACCCCCACAAUGCUCCACGGGUCAGCCUCGGCAGAGUCGAGCAGCAGUACAACAAACACACCAAUGUAGCAGCAUAGGAGAAGGCGAGCAAGCAAGAGGAUGUGUAUAGCUGUAUAGCUCGAUUACUUCCUGCUCAUCAAAAAUCAUGUCGAGAAGGUGAUGAUAUGCCUCGCCUUCGUCCCAAGGCAGGCAUCGCUA